rnacentral:rRNA from 1 species
AAUUAAGCAUAUCAAUAAGCGGAGGAAAAGAAACCAACAGGGAUUCCCUUAGUAACGGCGAGCGAAAAGGGAUGAGCCCAGCAUGUAAAUCUCCGGUUUCCGGCGAAUUGUAGUCUGGAGUAGCAACUCCUGGUGCCGUGCCGGCCCAAGCAUCUUGGAAUAGAUCGCCUCAGAGGGUGAGAGCCCCGUAGGUCGGUACGAGCUCCUACACGGAGUGCUCACGCAGAGUCGGGUUGUUUGGGAAUGCAGCCCCAAUUGGGUGGUAAACCCCAUCUAAGGCUAAAUACCUGUGGGAGACCGAUAGCAAAAAAGUACCUCGAGGGAACGAUGAAAAGACCGCUGGCAAGCGAGUGAAAGAGUGCAUGAAAUUGUAUAGUGGGAAGGGAUGGCCUGGCGUAUUGCCCGCGGGUAUACACUGCUCCUUGAGCUCUUGAAUACACCGUGGGCUGGCUGGUGCCGACACCUGCGCUUGCAAAUCCCCAAACUAAGGUGUUUGGCUCUUCAAGCGCGGGUGUUGAGGUUGAUCGUCGCUUUGUUUUAAACUGCGUCGACAAAGCACCAGCUGAAGCCUGUCCAUCUACCCGUCG